CUAAAUUAGCUCGAAAUCAAAUUUAUUGCGAAAAUUCCCAACGAAGUUGGGGUUUUCGAUCCAAAGAGGAACCCCAGUCCGUGAAUGAAAAUGAACGUAUUGUUGGCUGCGGUUUAUCGAAGACAGUGAUGAAUCAGCCCCUCGGGCUUUGAAGGCUUUGGUUCGGGUUUUCCACUUGAAACAGGACUGAUGGUGAUCUAACAAGCAUCAUACAUGGAUUUCAGUAGCAUUUUCAUGGAUUUCGGUAUCAUAUUCAUUCUUCUGAAUCUCUCCUUUUCAAUUGUUCUCUAAUAGACGACACCUUUUUCCAAACUUUGGUACAUGCAUUCAGUUAGACAUGUCUACAUUUUACAACAAACCCCCCAUCAAAUCCUUGCAGUUUAUUUUUUGUGUUACUGUUAGUCAAAAUAUACGUGUAGAAGUUAGUAUAGUUUUGUUGCCAAAUCAACAUCUAGAAUUUUUCUUCUACAAUGACCAUCACCUAACGCAAAAGAAUAUAUUAUCUUCUAUUUCAGGUUUGGAGAACAAGUUUCUCGUGAUUGUUCUUAUUAAUUAUAAUUAUUAUAAGGGGUAAAUUACACUAAGC